UCCAGGUGAAAGGAAGUAGGCAUGCAUCUUAGGCAAAUCCGGGGUGCUCUAUGCUGAGAUCUGAUAGCAAGCUGUACUUGUACAGUGAAGUGGCUGAUACCCUGCUUCCAGGAAAAGUCUCUAAGCUUCAGUUACACUGGAAUCGUACCCGAAACCGACACAGGUGGUCAGGUCGAGUAGACCAAAGCGCUUGAGAGAACUCUGCUGAAGGAACUAGGCAAAAUGGUACCGUAACUUCGGGAGAAGGUACGCUGUUGAUGGUGAUAGGACUCGCUCCUUGAGCUGUCGACAGCCUCAGAAACCAGGCCGCUGCAACUGUUUAUUAAAAACAUAGCACUCUGCAAACACGAAAGUGGACGUAUAGGGUGUGAUGCCUGCCCGGUGCUGGAAGGUUAAUUGAUGGGGUUAGCGUAAGCGAAGCUCUUGAUCGAAGCCCCAGUAAACGGCGGCCGUAACUAUAACGGUCCUAAGGUAGCGAAAUUCCUUGUCGGGUAAGUUCCGACCUGCACGAAUGGCAUAAUGAUGGCGGCGCUGUCUCCAGCAGAGGCUCAGUGAAAUCGAAUUCGCCGUGAAGAUGCGGUGUACCCGCGGCUAGACGGAAAGACCCCGUGAACCUUUACUGCAGCUUGACAUUGAACUUUGACCUUACUUGUGUAGGAUAGGUGGGAGGCUUUGAAACUUGGACGCUAGUCCGAGUGGAGCCGUCCUUGAAAUACCACCCUGGUAAUGUUGAGGUUCUAACUCUGUCCCGUUAUCCGGGACGAGGACCAUGUCUGGUGGGUAGUUUGACUGGGGCGGUCUCCUCCUAAAGAGUAACGGAGGAGUACGAAGGUGCGCUCAGCGUGGUCGGAAAUCACGCGUAGAGUAUAAAGGCAAAAGCGCGCUUAACUGCGAGACCCACAAGUCGAGCAGGUACGAAAGUAGGUCUUAGUGAUCCGGUGGUUCUGUAUGGAAGGGCCAUCGCUCAACGGAUAAAAGGUACUCUGGGGAUAACAGGCUGAUACCGCCCAAGAGUUCAUAUCGACGGCGGUGUUUGGCACCUCGAUGUCGGCUCAUCUCAUCCUGGGGCUGAAGCAGGUCCCAAGGGUAUGGCUGUUCGCCAUUUAAAGAGGUACGCGAGCUGGGUUUAGAACGUCGUGAGACAGUUCGGUCCCUAUCUACCGUGGGCGCUGGAAAUUUGAGAGGAUCUGCUCCUAGUACGAGAGGACCAGAGUGGACGAACCUCUGGUGUACCGGUUGUGACGCCAGUCGCAUCGCCGGGUAGCUAUGUUCGGAAGGGAUAACCGCUGAAAGCAUCUAAGCGGGAAGCCUACCUCAAGAUAAGAUUUCCCCGAGGCUUUAUGCCUCCUAAAGAGCCGUUGAAGACUACGACGUUGAUAGGUUGGAUGUGGAAGCAUAGCGAUAUGUGAAGCUGACCAAUACUAAUUGCUCGUGAGGCUUGACU
rnacentral:rRNA from 1 species